AAUGAACGCUGGCGGCGCGCCUAAUACAUGCAAGUCGAGCGAGAAGACGUAGCAAUACGUUUGUAAAGCGGCGAACGGGUGAGGAAUACAUGGGUAACCUACCCUCGAGUGGGGAAUAACUAGCCGAAAGGUUAGCUAAUACCGCGUACGCUUCCUGGACUUCGGUUCAGGGAGGAAAGCGAUACCGUGGGUAUCGCGCUCUUGGAUGGGCUCAUGUCCUAUCAGCUUGNGGUGAGGUAACGGCUCACCAAGGCUUCGACGGGUAGCUGGUCUGAGAGGACGAUCAGCCACACUGGCACUGCGACACGGGCCAGACUCCUACGGGAGGCAGCAGUAAGGAAUAUUGCGCAAUGGGCGAAAGCCUGACGCAGCGACGCCGCGUGGGGGAGU
rnacentral:rRNA from 1 species